rnacentral:rRNA from 1 species
CACGUAGGGGACGAGCGUUGUCCGGAAUUACUGGGCGUAAAGGGCGCGCAGGCUGCGUUACAAGUCAGCUGUUAAAUGCAUGGGCUUACCCCAUGAGUGCGGUUGAAACUGUAGUGCUAGAGUACUGUAGAGGCAAGCGGAAUUCCCAGUGUAGCGGUGAAAUGCGUAGAUAUUGGGAGGAACACCGGUGGCGUAGGCGGCUUGCUGGACAGUAACUGACGCUGAGGCGCGAAAGCCAGGGGAGCAAACGGGGAUUAGAUACCCGU